rnacentral:rRNA from 1 species
UACAGAGGGGGCAAGCGUUGUUCGGAAUUACUGGGCGGAAAGGGCGCGUAGGCGGCCUGUUAAGUCGAACGUGAAAUCCCCGGGCUCAACCCGGGAACUGCGUCCGAGACUGGCAGGCUCGAAUCCGGGAGAGGGAUGCGGAAUUCCAGGUGUAGCGGUGAAAUGCGUAGAUAUCUGGAGGAACACCGGUGGCGAAGGCGGCAUCCUGGACCGGCAUUGACGCUGAGGCGCGAAAGCCAGGGGAGCAAACGGG